rfam:Schistosoma haematobium scaffold1791_5, whole genome shotgun sequence.
AUCCAGCUGACAAGUUCCAAAUAGAACAUAACGCGAGUCCUGCAU